AGCCUAUUAGCUCAAUUGGUCGAGCAAUGUGUACUUUCGUUGGCCUAGAGGAUGUAGGUUCAAGUCCUACAUAGGCUA
rnacentral:tRNA from 1 species